rnacentral:rRNA from 1 species
UACAGAGGGGGCAAGCGUUAUUCGGAAUUAUUGGGCGUAAAGGGCGCGUAGGCGGCUUUGCAAGUGACGGGUGAAAUCCCUCGGCUUAACCGAGGAACUGCCUGUCAAACUGCAUGGCUUGAGACCGGGAGAGGUGAGUGGAAUUCCCGGUGUAGCGGUGAAAUGCGCAGAUAUCGGGAGGAACACCAGUAGCGAAGGCGGCUCGCUGGGCCAUUCCUGACGCUGAGACGCGAAAGCUAGGGGAGCGAACAGG